rnacentral:rRNA from 1 species
GUAUGUUACAAGUGUCACACGGAACUGCCGGUCAUAAACCGGAGGAAGGUGGGGAUGACGUCAAGUCAGCAUGGCCUUUAUAUCCUGGGCCACACACACGCUACAAUGGGAAGGGACAAUAGGUUGCGAAGCCGCGAGGCGGAGCCAAUCCAGCAAAACUUCCCUCAGUUCAGAUUGCAGGCUGCAACUCGCCUGCAUGAAGUUGGAGUUGCUAGUAAACGCAGGUCAGCCAUACUGCGUUGAAUACGUUCCCGGGGCUU